AGAAAACAUUCUGUUUCGCUUGCCGCAAGAAUCGAAUGCAAACCCGGAAAAGUUUUGUUGGAUCCAGCAAGUAAGAGAUUGAUGAUACAUUUUCUUAUUACGAAUUUGAAGAUGCCCGGGACGCAGAUGAUGCGGUGCGUGGUGCUGGAAAAACAAUCUGCGGUCGUUGUGCUCCCGUCGAACUGUCUACCGGCAAGGGCGUGACAAAUGAGGUCGGGGUAAUUUCCAUCCGGACGACAGAUGCUGCGAGUGGAGGGCGAAGUCAUUAUACCCGGAAGUCAUUUUACCCGGGGUUCCACAUUCGCAUUCUCGUGAGCUGUAAACUCAUAGGAAUAUCUACAGCCGAGCCGUGACCUCGACCACCGUGCCCGAUCCAAAACACCGAGGAAGACAACCCGCGAUCGUUCGACUACUCGUGAUUAUACUAAAUCACCACGGCAGUCCAAGACCCACUCCUGGAGCCGCUCACGAACACCCCGUUCAGCGACCAGGUUACGCUUCAGAUCGAAUCGUCGCAAUGGCGGCGACUAACAUCACGAUUAAUCGAUUCGUUUUCAGGGCAGUGUCGACGCCGUUCUGCCACUAGCACUCUGUCCAAGGAACUACGGGAAUGCUAGACCACCGGAAGCGAUUACAGAAACUAAGACUUCAGAAACCACACAUUAAUUACAUCGAGAUGUCUAGUUAAUGAAAUUGUAAACGUCUUCUCGGAAACCCUCAGCGAAGACAAUAUGAAAAAUAGUCCAGCAAGUGCUGACCGUUAUGACCAGCAUGCAAGGACCAAAUAAUACACCCUGUGCAAUACUGAAUUUCUAGUUUCCCAGUUCUUUGAGCAGUUUCCCCGAGGCAUGGCAUAUUACGUCGUUUUAUGCUGUUUUCGUUUUUGAAUUCAAAUCGGGGUAAAUUCGUCCAAAAAAAAGAGAUUAUAACUACUACAGGGAGCGAAGCGCUACUGUCUCCAUGUAUUCACGGACUGAAACAUGUGGUCUCGCUCUAGCAUAUUGUAUCCCAUUACAUUGACAUGUGUGUACCCGGGGUAAUAUGUGUCAAACUAAUGGGCCUAGCAUAUGUAGGAGCGAGAUGAUGAAUUAUCAGUGUUAACAGCGACAUGCGACCUCUAGUAGUUAUAAUCUCUUUUGUUCGAAACCUUCAUUUUCGUAAAUAUGAGAGCGAACCUACUCUGACUCGGAUCCAAAAACCAAUUCUGCACUAAUUUUUAUAAG